AACGAACGCUGGCGGCAUGCCUAACACAUGCAAGUCGAACGAGACCUUCGGGUCUAGUGGCGCACGGGUGCGUAACGCGUGGGAACCUGCCCUUAGGUUCGGAAUAACUCAGAGAAAUUUGAGCUAAUACCGGAUGAUGUCUUCGGACCAAAGAUUUAUCGCCUUUAGAUGGGCCCGCGUUGGAUUAGCUAGUUGGUGGGGUAAAGGCCUACCAAGGCGACGAUCCAUAGCUGGUCUGAGAGGAUGAUCAGCCACACUGGGACUGAGACACGGCCCAGACUCCUACGGGAGGCAGCAGUGGGGAAUAUUGGACAAUGGGCGAAGGCCUGAUCCAGCACUGCCGCGUGAGUGGUGAAGGCCUUAGGGUUGUAAAGCUCUUUUACCCGAGAUGAUAAUGACGGUAUCGGGAGAAUAAGCUCCGGCUAACUCCGUG
rnacentral:rRNA from 1 species